AGUGUUACAUACCAUUUUGUUAAUUCCUCAUCUUGCCUGAUCUUGAAAAUAAGCAGGUUUGGGCCUGGUUAGCACUUACAUAGGAGACUGCUUGGAAUACCAUGUGCCAAGACACUU
rnacentral:rRNA from 1 species